rnacentral:rRNA from 1 species
GAGUUUGAUCCUGGCUCAGGACGAACGCUGGCGGCGCGCUUAACACAUGCAAGUCGAGCGAGAACCGGGGCUUCGGCCUCGGGGACAGCGGCGAACGGGUGAGUCCCACGUGGAUUACCUGCCCUCGUUACCGGGAUAGCCCGGGGAAACUCGGAUUAAUACCGGAUAGCCCUUCCGACUUUCGAGUCGGUCGGAAAAGGUAGCUUCGGCCUCUGGCCGAGGAUGGGUCCGCGGCGGAUUAGCUUGUUGGUGGGGUAACGGCCUACCAAGGCUUCGAUCCGUAGCUGGUCUGAGAGGACGAUCAGCCACACUGGGACUGAGACACGGCCCAGACUCCUACGGGAGGCAGCAGUGGGGAAUCUUGCGCAAUGGGCGAAAGCCUGACGCAGCGACGCCGCGUGAGGGAAGAAGGCCUUCGGGUUGUAAACCUCUUUCAGGAGGGACGAAGCUACUCGGGUUAAUAGCCCAGAGGGUGACGGUACCUCCAGAAGAAGCCCCGGCUAACUACGUGCCAGCAGCCGCGGUAAUACGUAGGGGGCAAGCGUUGUCCGGAUUUACUGGGCGUAAAGAGCGUGUAGGCGGCAAAGCAGGUCUGUUGUGAAAACUGGAGGCUCAACCUCCAGACGUCGACAGAAACCGCUUGGCUAGAGUCCGGA